GAGGGAGUUGGAAAGAGAUAAGAGAGAGACCUUGGGGAACAAUUUUAAAGUGGCUCAAUAGCGAUCGCAGAGCCAAACUCAUACCUACAUCAAUGUGGUGCAGAGAAUCUCUAAGAAUUUUUAAUGCUGAAUUGGAGCAAAGAAACUUCAAGGAGGAAGCAAAGUGAAGAACACAGAUUUCACAGAUGGGAUGCCUGGCUCAAAUUCCAGCUUGACCGCUGGUAGCUGUGUGACCCUCGGCAAGUUACUUGACCUCUCUCUACUCAGUGUCCUCAUCUGUCAGUGUAAUAUGAAUCAGAAAACAUGAACUCAGACUGAUGCUGGAAGCCACCUUAUGACUAUAAGCAGAAUCAGCCUCGUUAUGACGUUGAUGCUAUAAGCAACGGACUGAAAGAUACAAAGAGCAAGCAGACAGGAUGAUUUUGGUAUCUGACUGAUGCUGUCUUCGUGGAAUGAGUUAGGAAAGAGUCCCUCCUCGUCAACUGUUGGGAAUACAUUCAGCAGGGUUGGUAUCAUUGCAUGUCUGGCAGAAUUUGACUAGGAAUCCAUCUGGUCCAGGAUUUUUUUUGUUGACACUGCUCAAGGAAAGAGAUGAAUAAUGGUGUAAUGAGAUUCACUGAAGAAUUCUCAGAGUGGAAUGAGCAACAGAUUUUCAUUAGCGAAAGCUCCUCUAGCUGCUGCAUGAAAUGAUGUCUAGACAGAGCCAUUUUUAGAUCUUCCAUUGGAUUGGGAACGUGAAAAUGGCACAGAAAGAGAAAGAACAUGCCAAGAAGUGGGGGCACUCAGGCACUUGCAUCAGCUGCCUUGCAACAGUGAAUGAUAAAGAAAAUACUAUCAUAAAAGGGAUACAAUACAUGGUCCGUGACUGCAAAACCAUAUUAAAGUUCCUGUUCAUUGACGUCAUGGUUCACAUAUGGUGCAUAUGUAUAAUUGGAAAUCUCAGAAUUGCAUUUUCAUGAAAGAAGAUGAAGAUACCAAAUGCCUUACUAAGAGUAUUUAUUUGUUUGUCAGUUAUUUGCAUGGAAAUGUGGUAAAGAGAGAGCAAUGCCUGGGACUGGGUGUUAGCAUUAGUAAGUCAGAGAAAAACCUUCUUUGUAAGAAGUUAUAUACGAAGUUGUCAACUUUAAUUUAGCAUAAAUUAAUAACUGAAGACUGAAACAAAACACAGAUGGCAUAGAGUCAAUCUGGAGUCUUCUAGAAUCCUUUAUUAAAAGAAAAAACCCAUGAGAGAAAAGUAAAGAUUGGAGGUCUCAAAUCACAGUAAUUGUAUUACUCAAAUCACAAAUUCCUCCUUAACUCGACACUUAACUCGAUGGAAUUUUCAUGAUGUCAAAGCAUGUAGAUAGUUGGAUAAUUAGAAAUGAGAAUAAAGAACAGCUUAAUGAAUAACAGAA
ensembl:lncRNA HAS2-AS1 HAS2 antisense RNA 1